UGUGAAGCAGGCCUCAUCUCCAGUCGGAAAGUGGUUGGAAAUCCCCAUAACCAUCAGGUCAGGCUCAAGUAUCUGUGCAGAACAGGAGGUGGGAAGAUUGGAAGAGCCAGAGGUGAUGGACAACACCAAGAAAAUAGCUUUUCCCAAGCAUAACAGGACUGAUGCACAAGAGAACUUACAUAGAUUCACAACAUGUACAAGACUUGCAUAGCUUCAAACUAGACACAAUUCCAGCAAAGAGAAGGGGACGUGGACACAAAGUCCUACACCAAGCAAAGUGUUUGCAACUGAUAACUGCUGGGAAAGGAAAAAAAAUCUUUUCUUCAGUGGAAUGACACAUGAACCAAUCACAGCCCUGGGUGUCAACCACAGCCCCACGUAGGCCACUCAGGAACAGUUGGUCAACAUAAAAUGGACUUCUUGUUUCUUUUGCUGUAGUGUGUGUAUGUGUGUGUGUGUGUGUACAUACACACACACAUGCACAUAGACUUGUAUAUGUAUGAGCCCAUGAAUGUGCACAGGUGUCCUUUUUGUUUUUAAUUUUAAAAUACAAUCACAUCACUUCCCUUUCUUUCCUCCCUCCAUCUCCAUCUCAUCUAUGUCCCCCCUCUCUCACCCUCCUAUGUUCACCUGCUCGCUUUCAAAUUGAUAGCCUCUUUUUUGAUUAUUGUUAUACAAUCUGUAGGUAUAUAACAGCUUAGUGUCUUUUUGUUGUUUGUGUGUAUAUGUGGUCUCAGCUCUGACCACUUUGUAUCAGAUACAGUUAGAAGGCUCAUUCCUAAGAAAAGCUAAUUUCCCAUCUUCCAUCAGUUGUCAGCUGCCUCACAGCUGACUAACUGGUACUUUUGGUCCAAUAAUGUUUGUCUCCUCUUCCAUGAUGUUCCCUGAGCCAUAGAUGCAGGAGCUGGGCUGUAAAUGUAUUCAUUUGGGCUGGGCUACCCAGGAUCUAUUAGUUUCUGUAUUGUGCCACUUGGGCUUUCAUUGUUAUACACACACACACACACACACACACACACACACACACACACACACACA